GGUUGCCCAGAGAAGUUCUGCUGUUUCCAGUCCCGAGGAGUUUCCAAGAUGUAAUAUGAUAAAGUCCUGAGCAAUCUGGUCCAACACCACAGCUGACCCCACUUGGAGCAGGACCAGGACGGGCUCAUCUGAUUUAUUUGGACAGUGGUGCCUGUGCCUCUCACUGCCACCCUCAUCAACCCGUUCAACCACCCUGUUUUCUGCAAGCCACUGCAACAGCGCUUCUGACCUCUGCUUGCUGUGAAGUUUUCUUGAGUUACAUGAAAUUAAAGAGCAGAAUGAUGGCCACUCUCACAUCAUGUUGUAAAUGAGGCCCAUGCAAACAGCAUUUGAGUGGAAAGACUGUUGGAUUUUUCUUCAACUUUCAUACAGCUUUCAAAAGCUGUAAAAGAUUACUUCGAAGCUUCUUUUUGGUCGACAUUUCUAGCAGAAUUAAGGCUAAAAGCAGCUAUUGAGAUCAGAGCAUCACAUCUGCAUUAGGACCCUGAGACUCAUCCAGUAAACACAAUGAGGCCUGAGGGAAGCCAGAAAUACAGAAAUUUAGGAACUGCUAAACUGCCAAGAUUUACUUUUCCAAGAUCUGCAGAUCUGAAUUAGUUACCAGAAGGAAGCAAGCAACUCACAACUCUCAGAACAUUCACACAGGAACAAUCAGUUUCAAAAAUAAA